CGUUACUUCAUAUAGAUACAGCAAAAACGUGAUUUCCAAGUGAUUUUUGUAGCACGUCACUUGCAAUUGUAAGGAAUAAAAGUAUAAUUCUUUCCAUGGACGACAUACGGAUUUAGCAUACCGCUUCGAUUUCGUUAUUUUAUUUUGUUGCGUUGUUGAAUUCGGGCUUUUUUCGUAAUGAAGUAAGGUGGAAGAAGAUUAUUUCUUGGAAUAUAAGUUGUCUUGGAGGAAGGAGCCCUUGGUUCAUCAAUUUGAUCAUAUAGUCAAGUGAAGAAGAUUGAGUAAGAAGAUUUUCGACGAAACGGAGAGUGAGCUUGGAUAGGCUUAAAAAGCUCAAAAGGCUAAAGGGGCGACGAAGCGAACUUGGUUACGGUUAACCUAUAACAGGUAUGUAAAGUUAUCCCUUCUUUCUUUUGGCAUGUCUUAGAUAUAAGUGACGUAUGAUAUGAGCUUUGGGGUAAUUCUAUUCAUAAGUUUCGAGUGUGAUUCAUGAUUCUUAUUCACUUCUUAAUAUUAGAACUCUUAAGGUAAUUGAGCUAUUGCCUCUCAAGUCUUCUAUACGUUGGAUAGUAGUCGAUAUGUAUAAUAGAGACUCUACGAUGACUAAUGUCCUUGACUUUCAUAAGCUAUUUCAUAUUCUCUUGAUACAUGUCUAUGAUUCCUGAGGCUCUAUUUGAUAUAGUCCAUAGUGACAUUUAAAGGGUACUCAACAUGACUAUCGCCUUUGAUACUCGAGUGUUAGUUACUCUACUUAUUCUAUUGAGUCUCUGAUGAUGAUUUAGUUGCAUAUGGAUGCUCAUGAUAUUCUACUCGUGCAUACUGUUAUUGUAUUAUUCACCGAGUCCCGGGCCGGGUAUGUUAUCGUGCACAGUGUCACUGCAUUAUUCACCGUGUCCCUUACUAGAGGGUCGGGUACGGUAUAUGUAUAUGAUGAUAUGAUGAUAUGAUUAUGGCACCGAGUCCCAUGAUAGGCCGGGUAUGGUAUACGUGUACACGACUUUAUUCACUGAGUCCCUUACUAGAGGGCCGGGUACGGUAUAUGUAUAUGAUGAUAUGAUGAUAUGAUUAUGGUACCGAGUCCCAUAAUGGGCCAGGUAUGGUAUAUGAUAAUGAUAUGCAUGAUUUUGUUUCGUAAAGCACAGGUACAGUGAUUUCUUGAUUAUCAUACUUGUCUCCUGGAAUCUCUACUUCAGUUAUGAUCUUCCUUAAUGUAUUUCAUGCUUUAUAUACUCAGUACGUAUCUCGUACUGACCCCCUUUCUUUUGGGGGGGGGGGGGCUGCGUUUCAUGCCCACAGAUAGUCGGUUUGGUGACCCUUCAGCAUAGGACUUCUACUCAGCUGUCUUGGAGAGCUCCAUUGUUCCGGAGCCUAGACUUUUGGUACAAAUCUUUUGAUAUAUAUAUACGUUUAUCCAGGGGUACGGCGGGGCCCUGUCCCGUCAUAUUUCACUAUUGAUACUCCUAGAGGUCUGUAGACAUAUGUGUGGGUUGUGUAUAAGUUCAUUCAGCUGUGUCUAUACGAUGUGCUAUGGAUAUGUUCGUCUGUAAUGGCAGCCUUGUUGGCUUGCAUAUGGCAUUGAUCUGUAAUGGCAGCCUUGUCGGCUUGCGUAUGGUAUUGAUAUGUAGUGGCAGCCUU